AUAUAUAUAAAAAAAGACAACUCUGUUCCGCAGAGUAGCUGUUGACAUUAUAGCUGCACAGGCACUUUGUUGACUCUAGAGAAACUCUGGCCAAUCGCACAUCCCCGUGGCAGCGACUUUGCAUGCGGAUGUCAUCCAUAUCAACUUUCAAUGCCAGUUUCUGCGCCUACCAUGGUGACCACGGGUAACGGGAAUCAGGGUUCAAUUCCGUACAGGGACCCUGAGAAACGGCUGCCACAUGCAAGGAAGGCAGCA
rnacentral:rRNA from 1 species